GAUUUCUGGCUUGAAACAAUCAAUCGGCUACGGUUUCGUAUGUCUGUAUUGUGUUGUUCUGGCCAUCCUUCCAUUCUCGUCGUAUCUGCUCUUCAUUGACUGGAUACGAUGAAUGGAUCUUUUACUUUGAAAAAAUUAGAGUGUUUAAAGCAGGCUUUUGCUAUGAAUACAUUAGCAUGGAAUAAUAAUCUAGGACUUCGGUUCUAUUUUGUUGGUUUCUAUAACUGAAGUAAUGAUUGAUAGGGAUAGUUGGGGGUGCUAGUAUUGGCCGGCCAGAGGUGAAAUUCUUGGAUUCGGUCAAGACUAACUUAUGCGAAAGCAUU
rnacentral:rRNA from 1 species